rnacentral:rRNA from 1 species
AACGAACGCUGGCGGCGGGCCUAACACAUGCAAGUCGAACGCCCCGCAAGGGGAGUGGCGAACGGGUGAGUAACGCGUGGGAACCUACCCUUUGGUGCGGAAUAACUCCGGGAAACCGGCGCUAAUACCGCAUAAGCCCUACGGGGGAAAGAUUUAUCGCCGAAGGAUGGGCCCGCGUCGGAUUAGCUUGUUGGUGAGGUAAUGGCUCACCAAGGCGACGAUCCGUAGCUGGUCUGAGAGGAUGAUCAGCCACACUGGGACUGAGACACGGCCCAGACUCCUACGGGAGGCAGCAGUGGGGAAUAUUGGACAAUGGGCGCAAGCCUGAUCCAGCCAUGCCGCGUGGGUGAAGAAGGCCCUAGGGUUGUAAAGCCCUUUUGGCGGGGAAGAUAAUGACGGUACCCGCAGAAGAAGCCCCGGCUAACUUCGUGCCAGCCGCCGCAGUAA